AUUGAACGCUGGCGGCAUGCCUUACACAUGCAAGUCGAACGGUAGCGGGCCUUCGGGUGCCGACGAGUGGCGAACGGGUGAGUAAUGUAUCGGAACGUACCAUUGAGUGGGGGAUAACGUAGCGAAAGUUACGCUAAUACCGCAUAUUCUCUCCGGAGGAAAGCAGGGGACCGCAAGGCCUUGCGCUCUUUGAGCGGCCGAUAUCAGAUUAGCUAGUUGGUGAGGUAAAGGCUCACCAAGGCGACGAUCUGUAGCGGGUCUGAGAGGAUGAUCCGCCACACUGGAACUGAGACACGGUCCAGACUCCUACGGGAGGCAGCAGUGGGGAAUUUUGGACAAUGGGGGCAACCCUGAUCCAGCCAUGCCGCGUGAGUGAAGAAGGCCUUCGGGUUGUAAAGCUCUUUCGGCCGGGAAGAAAUCGCAUGGGUUAAUACCCUGUGCGGAUGACGGUACCGGCAUAAGAAGCACCGGCUAACUACGUG
rnacentral:rRNA from 1 species